AGACCGGUCUACUGGUUGUGCUUUUGUACGUACUAGUAUAAUCGGUUUCUCUCUUCUGACGAACUAUAAUGCCAUUAAUUUGGUGUUUUAGGGAAUCAGGACUGUUACUUUGAAAAAAUUAGAGUGUUUAAAGCAGGCUUACGCUUGAAUACAUUAGCAUGGAAUAACGAAAUAGGACGUUUGAUUCUAUUUUGUUGGUUUCUAGGAUCGACGUAAUGAUUAAUAGGGAUAGUUGGG
rnacentral:rRNA from 1 species